CCUACGGGAGGCAGCAGUGAGGAAUAUUGGUCAAUGGGCGAGAGCCUGAACCAGCCAAGUCGCGUGAAGGAUGAAGGAUCUAUGGUUUGUAAACUUCUUUUAUAUGGGAAUAAAGUGAGGAACGUGUUCCUUUUUGUAUGUACCAUAUGAAUAAGCAUCGGCUAACUCCGUGCCAGCAGCCGCGGUAAUACGGAGGAUGCGAGCGUUAUCCGGAUUUAUUGGGUUUAAAGGGUGCGUAGGUGGUUAAUUAAGUCAGCGGUGAAAGUUUGUGGCUCAACCAUAAAAUUGCCGUUGAAACUGGUUGACUUGAGUAUAUUUGAGGUAGGCGGAAUGCGUGGUGUAGCGGUGAAAUGCAUAGAUAUCACGCAGAACUACGAUUGCGAAGGCAGCUUACUAAACUAUAACUGACACUGAAGCACGAAAGCGUGGGGAGCAAACAGGAUUAGAUACCCCAGUAGUC
rnacentral:rRNA from 1 species